rnacentral:misc_RNA from 1 species
AUUCUAUGUAUUACAAUGUGAAAUCUCAAAUAGUAAUCAAUUUUCUAUUGAAAUAAAAUUUCAAACAAAAUAUGAAGAAAAAUUUUGGUAAAAUGAGUAAAACAUGAGAUGCCCCUUGCAUGGAAAACGUGAGUUUGCCAUGAUUCACAGAUGCCAAGUUUCUCUAGCAGCAGCACACAAUUGUUGUCUCUUCACAGUUUAGAAAACUUGACCAGCAGCCUUCUGCUGUGGACCAGCCGGCAUCCAUGGAAAUCGCCACUGAUAACACCUUAAAUUCUUGUUUUGCUGCAAAUUUUAAAGGCCAAAAUACUAGACCCAUAAUCAUGCUACA